AACGUAGGAGACAAACGUUAUCCGGAGUUACUGGGCGUAAAGGGCGUGUAGGCGGUUUGUUAAGUCUGGCGUGAAAGCUCUCGGCUAAACCGGGAGAGGUCGUUGGAUACCGGCGAACUAGAGGAUGGUAGAGGCGUGUGGAAUUCCGGGUGUAGUGGUGAAAUGCGUAGAGAUCCGGAGGAACACCAGUGGCGAAGGCGACACGCUGGGCCAUACCUGACGCUAAAGCGCGACAGCAUGGGGAGCAAACGGG
rnacentral:rRNA from 1 species